GGAAGAGGAAAAAAAAGGGCAACACUAAUCACAGCUAGUUGACACGAAAGCUGAUGACAAAUGUCUGUAAAAAAAUUAGAAACUGUAAAAUAAAGGAAAUAUCUGGUCUAAAUGAACAAAUCAUGUCAUCAACGGGCUACCUUACAUUUCAAUGAUGGCAAUAACGCAAGGUUUUCAGAUACUCAAUUAAAAAACUAGGACAAAAGUGAUACAACACUGACUAUAUUUGGCAUGAUUAUGACCAAGAUUUCCAUCCAUUUUUAAUGUAAUCCAGACUUCUUGUUUGACAGCCAAAGUGUCAGUUUACGCUCUGUCCAUUGGCUCACCUGCAGCUGGGAUCACUGAUGAGACUGGAGUAGGUGUCCAUUGGUACAGGGUCCAUUGAGAGGUCUGAAAUCAGUAGCGACUUCCUGUGUUUGAGACUGCAGCGGCUUCGGACCUCCUCAGAAACUGUGCUUGCUGAUGAGCGCCAGCAGCGUGUGCAGGAUUCUCACUGUUCUUGCUACUGUGGUGGCUGAUGGAUGUCUGUAACCUGCAAACCAAAACCACAGACGGCACAAGCAAGUAUAUCGAAAAUGUUAACUUUUACUGUUAAGUGUUCAUUCAAAGUGUGUUCUGUGACAUACAAGUGUAUGGCAAAACACAAAUUUGAAAAUGAGCUCUCGUUUCCUCUAUUUGGUGUGGAAGCGCACCAAGACCACCCAAAAAAGGGGGUCUCUGUCCAGUUGUUUGGUCCAUAGCAGGAUUCAUUUGAGUGUAUUCACAUCUGCA